rnacentral:lncRNA from 1 species
UUCAACAUAUUCAAUAAACUUCAUCAAAGUAAAUGAAAGAAAUAAAAUAUAUUUUCAAAAUCUGAUAUAAAAGUUGCUGAUCAAUGUUUUUCUUGUUGCCUCCAUUAAACAGAGAUGGAAUCCUCUGUGCUACAUAUUUAGCACUAUAAAGAGCUGCACCCCCUAGCACUACCAUGUUAUUCUAUCAUGGAGAUGGAUGGCUGUUAACUAUGAUCU